GACGAACGCUGGCGGCGUGCCUAAUACAUGCAAGUCGAACGAAGCUGUUUUAACUGGUGCUUGCACCGACUUAAACAACUGAGUGGCGAACGGGUGAGUAACACGUGGGUAACCUGCCCCAAAGCGGGGGAUAACAUUUGGAAACAGAUGCUAAUACCGCAUAAUCACAGAAACCACAUGGUUUCUGUGUCAAAGAUGGUUUCGGCUAUCACUUUGGGCUGUACCCGCGGCGUAUUAGCUAGUUGGUAAGGUAAUGGCUUACCAAGGCAAUGAUACGUAGCCGAACUGAGAGGUUGAUCGGCCACAUUGGGACUGAGACACGGCCCAAACUCCUACGGGAGGCAGCAGUAGGGAAUCUUCCACAAUGGACGAAAGUCUGAUGGAGCAACGCCGCGUGAGUGAAGAAGGUUUUCGGAUCGUAAAACUCUGUUGUCAGAGAAGAACGUGUGCGAGAGUAACUGUUCGUGCAGUGACGGUAUCUGGCCAGAAAGCCACGGCUAACUACGUGCCAGCCGCCGCAGUAA
rnacentral:rRNA from 1 species